UUAACUAAAGCUAAAAAGAAGCAAUUCACUGUUAAUGAAAAGAAUGGAUUAACCUAGUUAAA
rnacentral:tRNA from 1 species